rnacentral:rRNA from 1 species
AGCUUGCUUCUCUGUAGCCGAGUGGCGAACGGGCUGAGUAACACGUGACCAACCUGGCUUCGGGAGGGGGACAACCCUGGGGAAACCCGGGCUAAUACCGCAUAUCGUCCUUCCGCCGCAUGACGGAAGGAUAAAAGGGGGCCUCUGCUUGCAAGCUCUCGCCCGAGGGGGGGGUCGCGUCGUAUCAGCUUGUUGGUGAGGUAACGGCUCACCAAGGCGAUGACGCGUAGCGGGUCUGAGAGGACGACCCGCCACAUUGGGACUGAGAUACGGCCCAGACUCCUACGGGAGGCAGCAGUGGGGAAUAUUGCGCAAUGGUCGAAAGACUGACGCAGCGACGCCGCGUGUGGGAGGAAGCCUUUCGGGGUGUAAACCACUGUCAGGGGGGAAGAACCUUCCGGAUGUAAAUAGCAUCCGGGACUGACGGUACCCCCAGAGGAAGCGCCGGCUAACUCCGUGCCAGCAGCCGCGGUAAGACGGAGGGCGCAAGCGUUGUUCGGAAUUACUGGGCGUAAAGCGCGGGCAGGCUGUCUGUUAAGUCUUU